AACGUAGCGCCGAGCCAGCAAACCAGCUCCCACUGCCCCUCCCCUGCCCGCUGAGAGUGGCGGCGAGCGGGGGUUGGGGGGGCAGGAACUGAGGGGUGCGGAUCCGGGCCCCCCAGCCUGCGAUGCGCCCUAGCAGGUCGAGCGGGCGUCGUCCACGCUUCGGAGCCCCGCUUUCAUGCGCGAAAUCCCCAGAAGUCGUCUGUGACCGCCUCCUUGCUUCAGACACCAGAGAGGGCCCGGGGUCCUGGCCGGAGUCAGGCCGAACCUCCGGAGCUGCUUCUGCACCCCGUACAUUGACCGAACUGACGGGCUGCGAGCCCGGAAGAGCUGGGUAGAUGAGGCCAGCGUCCAGCUUCUCCCCCAAACCACAGCACGACGAGCUUUGUCCCUGGGGAGCGUGAAGUCACCGGCUCCGGGAGGCAAUAUGAGGGCGAGGGACGGGGCAGGGAGACCCAGGGGUCCUCAGGGAAGUGGGGGUGCCGGAGGAGUCGGGGACACCCGCGGGCCUCUCCAAGCCCGGAGCAUCCCCUGCGCCCGCAGCCCUGUGAGACGCUGGGUGCUCUGGCCAUGGGCUCUGCCGCCAGGCCUCGGCGCUUUGUCCCCGGCCCGCCCGGGGAUGCUACCGCGCUAGAGUUGGACUCCAAGGUUUGCCUGCCGGGGAAGCGCUGGCGGCCGCCGCCUGGCGCGGAGCCCCAGGCUGCAGGCGCCGCGUGUGCGGGCGGGAAGUUCCCACAGUUGCAAAGAGGGAGCGAAGUAUGUGUUCCAAACUUUCCACGGUUCCAAACUGAGCGCUUCCAUUAAGAGGAGCGGUGUGCGGGGGAAAAGCAUUCUGGGUAUUAGCAUGCAAAUGAACGGGCUCGGCUUCCAACUCCGCUCGGAAUUCCCACCGCUACGCGCGGAGCUCGCGCCCAGCCACGCGCGCCCUGGGGCUUCCGGGCGUUGCCCUGGCGGAUGGCUGUGCUCAAAUCCACUCCCCUGGACCAUCCCCCGCCAGAGAGCCCAGAUGCAGGCUUGCUUAGAAGGCAUGUGA